CCUACGGGGGGCUGCAGUGGGGAAUAUUGGGCAAUGGGCGCAAGCCUGACCCAGCAACGCCGCGUGAAGGAAGAAGGCUUUCGGGUUGUAAACCUCUGUUGUCAGGGACGAAGGAAGUGACGGUACCUGACGAAUAAGCCACGGCUAACUACGUGCCAGCAGCCGCGGUAAUACGUAGGGGGCAAGCGUUAUCCGGAUUUACUGGGUGUAAAGGGCGUGUAGGCGGGACUGUAAGUCAGGAGUGAAAACCACGGGCGCAACCUGUGGACUGCAUUUGAAACUGUAUUUCUUGAGUGCAGGAGAGGCAGGCGGAAUUCCUAGUGUAGCGGUGAAAUGCGUAGAUAUUAGGAGGAACACCAGUGGCGAAGGCGGUUUGCUGGACAGUAACUGACGCUGAGGCGCGAAAGCGUGGGGAGCAAACAGGAUUAGAUACCCGAGUAGUC
rnacentral:rRNA from 1 species